rnacentral:rRNA from 1 species
GACGAACGCUGGCGGCGUGCUUAACACAUGCAAGUCGAACGGAAAGGCCCUGCGUUUGUGGGGUGCUCGAGUGGCGCACGGGUGAGUAACACGUGAGUAACCUGCCCUUGACUGUGGGAUAACUUCAGGGAACUGGGGCUAAUACCGGAUAGGAGAUCCUGCUGCAUGGGGGGGGUUGGAAAGUUUCGGCGGUGGUGGAUGGACUCGCGGCUUAUCCGCUUGUUGGUGGGGUAGGGGUGGCCGAAGGGUUUGAGGGGUAGCCCGCCUGGGAGGGUGAACGGCCUCCUGGCGCCUGAGAGACGCCCCAGACGCCUACGUGAGGCAGCAGGGGAGAAUAUUGCAGAACGGGCCGAAGCCUGAUGCGGCAGCCCCGCGAGCGUGAUGACGGCCUACGGGUUGUAAACCGCUUUCGCCUGUGACGAAGCGGGAUUGACGGUAAUGGGUAAAGAAGCACCGGCUAACUACGUG